GAACAGACACGACCACGGGCUCUCCUCUCUCUCCCUUUCCUCCUGAUCCCAGCCGCCAGGAGGCGCACGACCUGCGUGACGGUCGAUCCGGUGUCGCGCCGGCCGCCUGCCGAUGUCCGACGCCGGUGAUCGGACCACACUUCACCACCGGUCUGCCUCAGCUGAUCCUUUCCUUCGCGCGCCCGAGCUUCUUGUUGUACGCCGCCCAGGAGGGCCCGCGCUCGCCGCUCGACCAGAGCCACCGCCAGCUGGUCCGGUGCCGCGCCGACCGCCGGCCGAUGGAUGACGGAGGUGAUCGAAGCAUCCUGCACCACCAGUCUGCUUCAUCUCCUCCUUUCCUUCGCGCGCCUGAGCUCCUCGUUGUAUGCCGCCCGGGAGGGCUCGCGCUCGUCGCUCUACCAGAGCCACCACCGGCCGGUCGUCGCUGCACUUUCCCGCGACCUCUCCGCCCCCUCUGCACCACCCUCCACCUCAAUUUAGACGCACAUGUGUUUGUGCAUGUCCUCAGUUAUUGUUUGCACACAAGGUGUUUGUGUGUUUGUCCUAGCCAGUUUCAGUCACAGAUCCUUGAGAGACAAUUAGAUUUUGGAAGCAGGAAUCCUUUCCUCAUAAGAUGGAUGAGCUGUAGGAUUUGAUUCUGUUCAGCUUGGAUUAGUUUUUCAUCAUUAUGUUCUUUGUAUUAGGUAUUCAUGCUUUCCAGCUCUAAUUUUUUUGCAUUGUUGGUGUAUGCUGGGAGUCACAUUGCUAUGCAUGCUAGCAAACAAUAGGAUUGGAAGUCUUACCCUGUAGGUUAUUAAUAUAUUUUCCACUAUACUGAGGUUCAGCAAUUUAAUUCGUAUUAAGGUCACACAAGCAGUUUGGUUUUCAGAUUUGUAUUGACAAACAUAUUUGGUUCAGCAAUUUAAUUCGUAAUUAGAGUCACACAAGCAGUUUGGUUUUUAGAUUUGUCUUAACAAACAUAUUUUGCAGAUUAUCCUUGCAUAAGCAAUUGAUUUCUGCAAGUUCCUUUCACUUAUUUAUUUCUUCACUUGGUUAUGAUGUACUGCUAUUCGUUUUCAUGAUGAUCCAUGCAUUUUGUACUUUUCACUGACAAAAACUUCUCUCUAAACAAGAUUCGUUCCCAUUGUUACAGUGAAGUAGCUACCGAGCAGUGAGGCCAUCGAGCGACACGAGACCGCGGGACGGCGUGAGAAGAAGGGGGGGGGUCUAGGGGGAUGGAGAAGACCACGAGGAAGUGUGGCGAUGGAGUGCAAUCCCGAAGAAGAAGAACAUUGCAAAGAAAGACCCUAGCCAAGCGCCACCCAAUUCUCUUUCACCGACCUAUCUAAUGGCCAUCAAUUCAAUUGGUCCAAGCUGCUGCGUUGACCUUCCCAUUGAUCCACUACAUCCUCGCUCAGUUGCUUCUGCUAUGUUUCUUCUCUAUGCCAUUGCCGGCUGCUGGCGUGCCUGACAUCGCACCUUAUGUGACCUAAUAUGAUGCUCCUCUACAUGUUCUUCUCACCCCGGUUUUCAUGAGGAGAGAUAUUGUUCUGCGGUUCUGUAGCUCUACUCCAUAGCAAUGAUGGAGUCGCCUCCAGAUGGAUAGCAAUUAUCUCGGAUCAUGAGCUGUCUACGCAACGACCAGGGGCAUAUCCUUCUCCUACCACUAACACCUUCAUCCUAUUUGAGCCAAAAUGGCUUUGGUGCCCUCUCUCUCUCAUGGUGAGGCUGUGCACGCUUGCCAUGGUUGUGGCUACGAAAUCUCACACUGAGUCGCUUCGGUCGGGCACUAUUCAGGUACAACUCACUUUGCUCCACCAUUGUUGGUUGCUGUACAUCACAUGCUUGACGAAACUUCAAAGAUGGUGUUGAUCUUGUUCUUGCUUGACCAUCCUUGUUAUAAAUCAUUAUUGGGUUCUAGCUAGGGUCUUAGCGAUUGAUAAUUUCUCGAUUAUAUUGCCGAAAAUGUAGUUCUUAUUGUCAAAUUGUUAUGGCAGCAUGAGUGAAAAUAUGUUCCUUUUAAAUGCUUAGAUUCUAUAGAAACCUCUGGUCUAUAUCCUAAAUUACUGUAUUGUGUGCUUUUGUAAAAUAAACUGUAUUGAUGCAAUUUAUAUAUGUAGUACAAUGGUUUUACUCACAUCACAAAUAUCUGACAACAAGAGUGGUCCCGAGUUAACUUGCAACCAAAACAUUUAAAUUCCAGUUCAACAUUGCAUGUUCCUAUCUAAUAAACAGUCAAAUGUUUCAGACUAAAGUGAGAGUUUCUAGCAUAUUCCUCUUUUACGGUGACGCCAGAUUCGAAUUUGAAGGCGUACUUGUCCCUGAGCUGGUGGUGCCUGAGAACAACAACGACAACAUUCUGGUGCAUCAGGGGCACACAUCGUCUCCAAGCUCUGUCGCAAGCAACGCAGGCACGCCUCAGGCUCAAAGUCCGGUUGCUGUGCAGGCGAGCGGCAGCAGCCACUUACGUCUCUUCUAAGAAGGGCGCCGCCUUGGAGGAGCAUAAUGAGAGAAGCAAGUCGACACCGACUACAGCGGCGCAUGAGCCAACAAAGGGGCAGGAUCAUUGGAGACGACGGACACAGAGGCGCGUGCUAGGCAUGCCAAUCAUCAAACACUAGGGAGCGAUCCCACCCCCGAUGCCACAGUACAUGCAGUCGUCGCUGCCGCCUCUACAUGCCAUGAUCUACAGGCAAGUGCCUGCUCAGCAACGUACAAGAGAGGUCAGCGUGGGGCCUACUCGCCAAGAUGAUGCUUCUCUUCUCGUGCUUAUUUACUUGCCUUCUAUGUGUGACGAGAAGGAGCAGGAGAUUCAGAGGCUCAGGUUGGCAUCGCUAGGUGAGUUCCCUGCUGAUUUGACGAGCACGUGAUAUAGACUGUGGUCGGGUUCCUUCCUAACUCUGCUGGGCCUAAUGAAGAGAAAGAAUCAACUUUUGAGCUUAAUUGGCUAGAUCCAACCAGGCAGCUGCACAACAUUGUCAAGGAGAAGAUGAGAACAAUGCGAUGCUCAAAGAAGCAGGCUCUAGUUUUGGUAAAUGAGUAGUGAUGUUCUUGCAACCACCGAAACAAAUCUGAAAAAUAAGACAAAGACAAACAGGUUGAGAGGUUGGAUAAUGAUAUGGAA